rnacentral:sRNA from 1 species
GCCGGGUGCAGUGGCACACACCUGAAAUCCCAAAGGCUCUGGAGGCUGAGACAGGAGGAUCGUGAGUUCAAAGCCAGCCUCAGCAAUGGUGAGGCGCUAAGCAACUCAGUGAGACCCUGUCUCUA